AGAACGAACGCUGGCGGCAGGCUUAACACAUGCAAGUCGAACGCUUCCUUCGGGGAGAGUGGCAGACGGGUGAGUAACACGUGGGAACGUACCCCUUUGUUCGGAAUAACCCUGGGAAACUAGGGCUAAUACCGGAUACGGCCGAGAGGCGAAAGGUUUACCGCAGAGGGAUCGGCCCGCGUCCGAUUAGCUAGUUGGUGAGGUAAUGGCUCACCAAGGCAUCGAUCGGUAGCUGGUCUGAGAGGAUGACCAGCCACAUUGGGACUGAGACACGGCCCAAACUCCUACGGGAGGCAGCAGUGGGGAAUAUUGGACAAUGGGCGCAAGCCUGAUCCAGCCAUGCCGCGUGAGUGAUGACGGCCUUAGGGUUGUAAAGCUCUUUUACCUGGGAAGAUCAUGACGGUACCAGGAGAAUAAGCCCGGCUAACUUCGCGCAGCAGCCGC
rnacentral:rRNA from 1 species